GAUGAAGAACGCAGCGAAAUGCGAUAAGUAAUGUGAAUUGCAGAAUUCAGUGAACCAUCGAAUCUUUGAACGCACAUUGCGCCCGGCAGUAAUCUGCCGGGCAUGCCUGUCCGAGCGUCAUUUCUCCCCUCGAGCGCAGCUUUCCCCCCCGGGGGAGGGCCGCGCCCGGUGUUGGGGCGCUACGGAGGGGCCCAGCGCUCCCCCGUAGGCCCCGAAAUGUAGUGGCGGUCCCGCCGCGGCGCCCCCUGCGUAGUAGUUUUACAACUCGCAUCGGGUCCCGGCGGAGGCCAGCCGUCAAACCCCCCAACUUCAAUAGUUUGACCUCGGAUCAGGUAGGGUUACCCGCUGAACUUAAGCAUAUCAAUAAGCGGAGGA
rnacentral:misc_RNA from 1 species